AUUGAACGCUGGCGGCAUGCCUUACACAUGCAAGUCGAACGGUAACGCGGGGCAACCUGGCGACGAGUGGCGAACGGGUGAGUAAUGCAUCGGAACGUGCCCAGUAGUGGGGGAUAGCCCGGCGAAAGCCGGAUUAAUACCGCAUACGACCUACGGGUGAAAGGGGGGGAUCGCAAGACCUCUCGCUAUUGGAGCGGCCGAUGUCAGAUUAGGUAGUUGGUGGGGUAAAAGCCUACCAAGCCGACGAUCUGUAGCUGGUCUGAGAGGACGACCAGCCACACUGGGACUGAGACACGGCCCAGACUCCUACGGGAGGCAGCAGUGGGGAAUUUUGGACAAUGGGCGCAAGCCUGAUCCAGCCAUGCCGCGUGCGGGAAGAAGGCCUUCGGGUUGUAAACCGCUUUUGUCAGGGAAGAAAUCUUCUGGGUUAAUACCUCGGGAGGAUGACGGUACCUGAAGAAUAAGCACCGGCUAACUACGUGCCAGCCGCCGCCGUAA
rnacentral:rRNA from 1 species